rnacentral:rRNA from 1 species
AGAGUUUGAUCAUGGCUCAGGACGAACGCUGGCGGCGUGCCUAAUACAUGCAAGUCGAGCGAGCUUGCCUAGAUGAAUUUGGUGCUUGCACCAAAUGAAACUAGAUACAAGCGAGCGGCGGACGGGUGAGUAACACGUGGGUAACCUGCCCAAGAGACUGGGAUAACACCUGGAAACAGAUGCUAAUACCGGAUAACAACACUAGACGCAUGUCUAGAGUUUAAAAGAUGGUUCUGCUAUCACUCUUGGAUGGACCUGCGGUGCAUUAGCUAGUUGGUAAGGUAACGGCUUACCAAGGCAAUGAUGCAUAGCCGAGUUGAGAGACUGAUCGGGCCACAUUGGGGACUGGAGACACGGCCCAAACUCCUACGGGAGGCAGCAGUAGGGAAUCUUCCACAAUGGACGCAAGUCUGAUGGAGCAACGCCGCGUGAGUGAAGAAGGGUUUCGGCUCGUAAAGCUCUGUUGGUAGUGAAGAAAGAUAGAGGUAGUAACUGGCCUUUAUUUGACGGUAAUUACUUAGAAAGUCACGGCUAACUACGUGCCAGCAGCCGCGGUAAUACGUAGGUGGCAAGCGUUGUCCGGAUUUAUUGGGCGUAAAGCGAGUGCAGGCGGUUCAAUAAGUCUCGAUGUGAAAGCCUUCGGCUCAACCGGAAUUGCAUCGAAACUGUUGAACUUGAGUGCCAGAAGAGGAGAGUGGAACUCCAUGUGUAGCGGUGGAAUGCGUAGAUAUAUGGAAGAACACCAGUGGCGAAGGCGGCUGUCUGGUCUGUAACUGACGCUGAGGCUCGAAAGCAUGGGUAGCGAACAGGAUUAGAUACCCUGGUAGUCCAUGCCGUAAACGAUGAAUGCUAGGUGUUGGAGGGUUUCCGCCCUUCAGUGCCGCAGCUAACGCAUUAAGCAUUCCGCCUGGGGAGUACGACCGCAAGGUUGAAACUCAAAGGAAUUGACGGGGGCCCGCACAAG